rnacentral:lncRNA from 1 species
UCCAGCUAUUUGGCCCAACCCAUAUUAGAUUGUGUUAUAAAGACAUGGUAAAUUACAUCACGAAGGGAAGAGCAGAGGAAACAUAAUAUUCCUUCAAGACCCAUCAGCUCAGAUGUUAGCAGAACACCCCUAAGGAGGAAAACAAGAAAUUUUGGGUUUGAACUUGGUGCUUCCCAGCAGCCCUGGGAGUGGGGUCAGAAGCCCUGCUGGGGGGCGAAGAACUCUGAGGAUCAAAGAUGUUGAGCAUCACCUUAGAGGCCAAAGAUCAGAACAGCGGAGGUGGCCUUUGAAGCCCAACCUGUCUUUCACCAGAGAGUGAGAACGGCCUCUAUUUCCAGGAAGCUCACUGCAGCAAUAAUCACGAUGCUCUGAGCCUGACAAGCAAAAGAAAACUUCUUUAGGAGGAUAAAAGGGAGAUGAAGAAACAGAAAACACAUCAGCUCUCCAUCCAGAUUACAGAAAGCAGAAAACAUCCUGAAGUGAAUAACAUAGGAAUCACUCUUUUUCCCCCCUGAGAUAGCAGGUUACUUAUGAGAAACAAGCUUGAAAUCUCUGCACCUGGACCAGCUUCCAGAGGCUUUUGUCCUGACCAGCUGGCUUUGGGGAAGUAAAGGAAACCAGGGAAGAAGGGGCUGAAUUGGUUUCCACCGUGACCUUUGAACCCUCGGGCGAGUUGUCAACCUCACUGAGGAUGAGUGUACUCGAUAUCAAAUGAGGUCACUUUACUCGCAAGCUUGUUGUGAGGACUGAAUGAAACCUUUUCUUUUUUCUUGGAGUUUCAGAGCAAUGUCCCUGAGCCAAGCCCCACACUGGCUUGAGCCCUAUCGUCGGUCAAGACACGGUGCUUUCUCCCCUCCCCUCUGCACUCCAGCUUACUCUGCAGUCAGGAGGUGGCACCAGGAUCCCCUUUAAGACUUUGCCACUUGGGCCAGCUGUGCCCCUGUGAAAUUCCCUGUUUCUAUUGCAG